AGAACGAACGCUGGCGGCAUGCCUAAUACAUGCAAGUCGAACGAACUCUUCGGAGUUAGUGGCGCACGGGUGCGUAACGCGUGGGAAUCUGCCCCUUGGUUCGGAAUAACAGUUGGAAACGACUGCUAAUACCGGAUGAUGACGAAAGUCCAAAGAUUUAUCGCCAAGGGAUGAGCCCGCGUAGGAUUAGCUAGUUGGUGAGGUAAAGGCUCACCAAGGCAACGAUCCUUAGCUGGUCUGAGAGGAUGAUCAGCCACACUGGGACUGAGACACGGCCCAGACUCCACGGGAGCAGCAGUAGGGAAUAUGGACAAUGGGACGAAAGCCUGAUCCAGCAAGUGCCGCGUGAGUGAGUGAAGGCCGUUAGGGUUGUAAGUCUCGUUUUACCGAGUAUGAUAAUGACAGUAGUCGGGAAGAACGUAACGCCCCGACUAACCGUCCGUCGUACCCGAGACGACGGCCGUACGGU
rnacentral:rRNA from 1 species